UUAGAUGAGUGGAUGAUGUUGCUUUGUGUGUAAUGUGUCUGUAGACAAGUGAAUCUGAAUCUGCAGAGGAACUGCACAGCCGCCUGAUGAAGUGGCGAGAAACGGUUUAUAAGCCAACACCGAGCCAUGACAUCGAUGAGAGGACUGUCAUGGAAUUAAGGAUGAGGCAACUUGAGGAAGAAAGAGAAGAUUUGAUCUCAGAAGUGCAGGAGUUGGAGGAGGAACUGGGGUAACUUCAGAGACGAGGACAGGAUCAAGGAUGGACAAAGCAGACCACAGCUGGCCAAAAGCUUAUGGAAAAGGAAGAACUGGAAACCCUUCAGCAAUCAAAACAGCAGGAGUGCAGAGAGCAAGAUCCGUCCUCCUGCAAGAAUGAAUUGGCUGAGCUAAGGCAUGGACCUCUUCUUGUCAGACCAGCACCCAGGGAGCAAACCAUUGAAGUGGAAUCAAUCGAGGAAUGUGAG